rnacentral:rRNA from 1 species
UACGGGGGGAGCAAGCGUUGUUCGGAUUUACUGGGCGUAAAGUGUGCGCAGGCGGCCGCGCAAGUCGAGUGUGAAAUCCCCGAGCUUAACUUGGGAAUUGCGCUCGAAACUACGUGGCUGGAGUGUGGCAGAGGAAGGUGGAAUUCCACGUGUAGCGGUGAAAUGCGUAGAUAUGUGGAGGAACACCGAUGGCGAAGGCAGCCUUCUGGGCCAACACUGACGCUCAUGCACGAAAGCGUGGGGAGCAAACAGG